GCCGGGUGCGGUGGCAUGUGCCUGUAAUCCAAGUCACUGGGAGGCUGAGGUUGGUGAAUCAAGUGAGCUGAGGAGCUCUGGGCUGCAGCACACUAUGUGGAACGGGUGUCCACGCUAAGUUCGGUAUCGAUAUAGUGUUCCUGGGGGAGCCCGGGACCACCAGGUUGUCUAAGGAGGGGUGAACCGGCCCAGGUCGGAAACGAAGCAGGUCAAAUCCCCCGUGCUGUCCAGUAGUGGGAUAAUACCUGUGAGUAGAUGCUGCAGUGCAGCCUUGGCGAAACAUCGAGACCUAAUCUUUC
rnacentral:SRP_RNA from 1 species